UUUGGUUCAGUCGGUAGAGCGCUCGAUUCGCAUGCGCGAGGUCACGUGUUCGAUCCCAGCUUUAG
rnacentral:tRNA from 1 species